ensembl:snRNA U6 U6 spliceosomal RNA
GUGCUCAUUCGGUAGCACAUAUACUAACACUGGGAUGAUUCAGAGAAGAUUAGCAUGGCCCCUGCGUGAGGAUGACUCCCCAAAAAUGCAGCAGUUGAGAAAACGG